UGCCUAACACAAGGAAGUCAAGCGCGAAAGGGGGGGCAACCCCCCGAGUAGAGCUGUGNACGGGUGAGUAACGCAUGGGUAAUCUGCCCUGAAGUUAGGAAUAACACCUCGAAAGGGGUGCUAAUACCAAAUAACAUCUUUCGAACUCCGGUUUGGGAGAUCAAAGACGGCUGAGGCUUGCAAGCUGUCGCUUUAGGAUGAGCCCGCGUACCAUUAGCUAGUUGGUGGGGUAACGGCCCACCAAGGCCAUGAUGGUUAUUUUGUCCUGAAUAAUGGACAGACCCAAUGAUAACCGAAUAACGAGUCAAAACUCAAUAGAGGAGAGCAACAAUGGGCAUCUAUGCUGAAACUAAUGCAUCCAACCAGCAAGAUAUAGGAGGACAACUACUCCAUAUAAACAAAAACAUAAAUACAUACAGAUGGAAGACAGGCAGAUACUUUCUCUUAUAUUGUAAAAAAAUUCAGGCAGAGAUGAAAAAGAAGCGAAAGACAAAAACCACAAAUAAAAAAAUGACAGAAAGAAAAAAGACACGAUAAAAAAGAAAGAGACAUGUGUCGUGUGACGACGGGGACCACUUACUCGACAGUGUAUAAGCAAUAAUAGUCAUUCCACCUAACCCUCCGCACCAUGUAUCCAUGUACUCAACACCCAAAAGAAUCUAAACCAGAAAACAAGCAUAUUAUGAGAAAUAUUACCUAUCAUUACAGAGAAGAUAAUGCUAGAG
rnacentral:misc_RNA from 1 species